AUUCCAGAUAUUCCCUUCAGUAACUAUACUGUACCAAGGAAUAUUGCUCAUGAAUACAAAAAUUUGAAUGUAAACAGGAAGUGCUUUGUUCUAGAUGUUGGAGGCAAAAUGGAAUGGAGCUAAAUAAUUUUGUACCUUGAAAUUCUAAAAUGCUUUUAGAGAGAUAUCAGGUAAGAACAUUAAACUUUCUAAACUAAAAUAUAAUUUAAAUCUAUAUAUCAUAGAACUAAAACAAAUAGACUGAAGCAGGAACUUUAUUCAUCUCAGUGGCUUAAACUUUCACCUGGUUACAGGUAUUUUUUAAGGUAUAUGUGAAUGAUACAUAAUUAUGCUUCUGUAGCAACAGUUUAUUUAAUGCAUAUAGUUCUUGCAGUUUUCUAUUAUUCAUUUCUUGUAAUUAGUCCUACAAUCACUUUGGCUUACAACAAAGUCUAAACAUUAUGUUAUAAUUUUACUUUGCAGAUACAAGAGUGUACAUAUUGAGUUAUUAGAAGCAUUGUCUUCAACAUGUAUGAAUGAAAUGAUGUAAUCAGAGAUAAUUGAUGGCUUUAGUGACUAUGCUACAGGAUGAAAUGAGAUCACAGACAGAGACCCCAUCAAACACUUAACUAAAUGGCUGGAAUGAGGUUCCUGACCCUGGUGAUGGUUUUAGCAAAGCUAAGAGACAUUCUGGUGCCACCUAUAUUGAGCCAACAUAACUCCAAAAAUGAUUUUGUUGUAUUCAUAACUUUCUAUUAAAUAAUUUUUAUAUUUAA